rnacentral:tRNA from 1 species
GUCCUCGUGGAGCAGUUCGGAGUGCUCGUCUGCCUGUCACGCAGAAGGUCGUGGGUUCAAAUCCCAUCGGGGACG